GUCCACCUGCUGCUGGUUUACCUGAUUACGUGGCCACUACUUAAGGUGGUGGCUCAGUGCUUCUCAUCGCUGGAUUGUUGAGUAACCUGAAAACCCCCGGACCUGUUCCCAUUUACCUUCCCUGGAUUUCCUGAGUGUGGGAGAGUGGCAUGGUGCGAGAGGAGCGAGAGCAUGAGUGUUUGAAGAGGAACAUGGAGUUAUUGAAGAGGAGUGUGGCCUGUGGACCUUUCCCCCCUCCUUUCCACGGAUCCCCGGAAACCCCCCGACCCUUGCACAUUGUAUAUAUUGCACUUGGUGUUUUUGCAAAUAAACUGUGACAAAAAUAUUUAAAAAAUACAUGGACAGAAUAUUUAAAUAAACCACGUUGACACCAAAAAAAAUGAAAAAAUGAAAAAAAGUAUCAAGGCUAUAAUGCAACUUCAGAAGAGUGGUUUUUUUUUACUUUUUAACUUUCUUUUCUUUUUGGUUUUUAGCUCCAGUCAUGACUCUUUUCUGGUCUGAAGCAUACACCUUCAAGCACACAGAACUCAUUUUCAAGCACUGUUGCU